AGAGUUUGAUCAUGGCUCAGAACGUACGCUGGCGGCACGCCUAACACAUGCAAGUCGAACGAAGUAGCAAUACUUAGUGGCAGACGGGUGAGUAACAUGUGGGUAUCUGCCCUUUGGCCUGGAAUAACACGAGGAAACUUGUGCUAAUACUGGAUAAGUCUUUACGGAGAAAGCUUUAUGCACCAUUGGAUGAGCCCGCACUUGAUUAGUUUGUUGGUGGGGUAAUGGCCUACCAAGACUGUGAUCAAUAGCUGAUUUGAGAGGAUGAUCAGCCACAUUGGGACUGAGACACGGCCCAAACUCCUACGGGGGGCAGCAGUGGGGAAUCUUGCACAAUGGAGGAAACUCUGAUGCAGCGAUGCCGCGUGAGUGAAGAAGGCCCUUGGGUUGUAAAGCUCUUUCGUCGGGGAAGAAAAUGACUGUACCCGAAUAAGAAGGUCCGGCUAACUUCGUGCCAGCAGCCGCGGUAAUACGAAGGGACCUAGCGUAGUUCGGAAUUACUGGGCUUAAAGAGUUCGUAGGUGGUUGAAAAAGUUGGUGGUGAAAUCCCAGAGCUUAACUCUGGAACUGCCAUCAAAACUUUUCAGCUAGAGUUUGAUAGAGGAAAGCAGAAUUUCUAGUGUAGAGGUGAAAUUCGUAGAUAUUAGAAAGAAUACCAAUUGCGAAGGCAGCUUUCUGGAUCAUUACUGACACUGAGGAACGAAAGCAUGGGUAGCGAAGAGGAUUAGAUACCCUCGUAGUCCAUGCCGUAAACGAUGUGUGUUAGACGUUGGAAAUUUAUUUUCAGUGUCGCAGCGAAAGCGAUAAACACACCGCCUGGGGAGUACGACCGCAAGGUUAAAACUCAAAUGAAUUGACGGGGACCCGCACAAGUAGUGGAGCAUGUGGUUUAAUUCGAAGAUACGCGCAGAACCUUACCAACACUUGACAUGUUCGUCGCGACUUUAAGAGAUUAAAGUUUUCGGUUCGGCCGGACGAAACACAGGUGCUGCAUGGCUGUCGUCAGCUCGUGUCGUGAGAUGUUGGGUUAAGUCCCGCAACGAGCGCAACCCUCACUUUUAGUUGCCAUCAUUAAGUUGGGCACUCUGAAAGAACUGCCAGUGAUAAGCUGGAGGAAGGUGGGGAUGACGUCAAGUCCUCAUGGCCCUUACGUGUUGGGCUACACACGUGCUACAAUGGUAUCUACAACAGGAAGCGAAACAGCGAUGUUAAGCAAAUCCUUAAAAGAUACCUCAGUUCGGAUUGCACUCUGCAACUCGAGUGCAUGAAGCUGGAAUUACUAGUAAUCGUGGAUCAGCGUGCCACGGUGAAUGCGUUCCGCGGGUCUUGUACACACCGCCCGUA
rnacentral:rRNA from 1 species